rnacentral:rRNA from 1 species
AUACGUAGGGGGCGAGCGUUGUCCGGAAUGAUUGGGCGUAAAGGGCGCGUAGGCGGCCCGGUAAGUCUGGAGUGAAAGUCCUGUUUUUAAGAUGGGAAUUGCUUUGGAUACUGUCGGGCUUGAGUGCAGGAGAGGUAAGUGGAAUUCCCAGUGUAGCGGUGAAAUGCGUAGAGAUUGGGAGGAACACCAGUGGCGAAGGCGACUUACUGGACUGUAACUGACGCUGAGGCGCGAAAGUGUGGGGAGCAAACAGGAUUAGAUACCCUGGUAGUCCACACUGUAAACGAUGAAUGCUAGGUGUAAGAGGUAUCGACCCCUUUUGUGCCGGAGUCAACACAAUAAGUAUUCCGCCUGGGGAGUACGGCCGCAAGGUUGAAACUCAAAGGAAUUGACGUGG